CCGCCGCGCUUCACCGUUGCUCUUAGUCUUUUUUCCGGUCGCCGCCUCCCCUCUUCGAAGGCCGGUUGAGGUCACCCGACAAGUUAAACACUUCGAAGAGAACCAUUCCGUUCGAUUUCUCGCUUAAUUAGUCGGGCAGAGAAGCUUGAAGGUGAUCUAUCAAGGUCGCCGUCGUCGACUGGAAUUUCAUAAUUUCCUCCGCACAUGGGUACGCCUAUGAUAUUAUAUUCAAAUUUCAGGAGAUUAUAUUUUGUUUUCAGUAUGAAUAUGCUACAAAAUAGGUUGCGAUUUUAUGGUAUUUGAUGGUUUGUAUUAAUCAUUGCUCAAUAUCUAAGAUUAUCAAUCCCAAUAAUAAACUAAGAUAUAGAUUCA